rfam:Larimichthys crocea isolate SSNF unplaced genomic scaffold scaffold252, whole genome shotgun sequence.
AAAAAGGUUCUAUUAAGAACCAAGAGACAUAUAUUAUGACUGGACAG